UGAGUACGAGAUGCUACGGCAUCGAAGCAGUCUAUGUCAUACUUCCAAGAAAAGCUUGCAAUGUCAUAAACAAAUAAUGCCUGUACCAUAACCGACACAGGUGGGUAGGUAGAGUAUACUAAGGGGCGCGAGAUAACUCUCUCUAAGGAACUCGGCAAAAUGACUCCGUAACUUCGGGAGAAGGAGUGCCUUAUUUUUAUAAGGUUGCAAUAACAAGAUCCAAGCAACUGUUUACCAAAAACACAGGUCUCCGCUAAGUCGUAAGACGAUGUAUGGGGGCUGACACCUGCCCAGUGCCAGAAGGUUAAAGAAGUUGGUUAGCAUUAGCGAAGCUGAUAACUGAAGCCCUGGUGAACGGCGGCCGUAACAAUAACGGUCCUAAGGUAGCGAAAUUCCUUGUCGGGUAAGUUCCGACCCGCACGAAAGGCGUAAUGAUUUGGAUACUGUCUCGGAGAGGGGCUCGGUGAAAUAGACUUGUCUGUGAAGAUGCGGACUACCUGCACCUGGACAGAAAGACCCUAUGAAGCUUUACUGUAACUUGAGAUUGAAAUUGGACUUUAUCUGCGCAGUAUAGGUGGGAGACGUUGAAAAUAUUCUUGCGGGAAUAUUGGAGUCAUCAGUGAGAUACCACUCUUAUAAUGUUAGAUUUCUAACUUUGUAUCAUUAUCUGUCAAAGAACAGUUUCAGGCGGGCAGUUUGACUGGGGCGGUCGCCUCCCAAACGGUAACGGAGGCGCACAAAGGUUUCCUCUGAACGUGUAGAAAUCGUAUCUAGAGUGUAAAGGCAUAAGGAAGCUUGACUGUGAGACCUACAAGUCGAGCAGGGACGAAAGUCGGUCUUAGUGAUCUGACGGUGCUGAGUGGAAAGGCCGUCACUCAACGGAUAAAAGUUACUCUAGGAUAACAGGCUGAUCUCCCCCAAGAGUUCACAUCGACGGGGAGGUUUGGCACCUCGAUGUCGGCUCAUCGCAUCCUGGGGCGGUAGUACGUCCCAAGGGUUGGGCUGUUCGCCCAUGAAAGCGGUACGCGAGCUGGGUUCAGAACGUCGUGAGACAGUUCGGUCCACAUCCGGUGUAGGCGUUAGAAUAUUGAGAGGAGCCUUCUUUAGUACGAGAGGACCGAGAAGGACAUACCUCUGGUGUACCAGUUAUCGUGCCAACGGUAAACGCUGGGUAGCCAUGUAUGGAGAGGAUAACCGCUGAAAGCAUCUAAGUGGGAAGCCCACCUCAAGAUAAGUAUUCUCAUCAGAAAAG
rnacentral:rRNA from 1 species